AAUCAACGCUGGCGGCGUGCCUAACACAUGCAAGUCGAACGCGAAAAUCCCGCAAGGGAUUAGUAGAGUGGCAAACGGGUGAGUAACGCGUGGGUGACCUGCCUUCGAGCGGGGGAUAACGUUCCGAAAGGGACGCUAAUACCGCAUAACAUCCUGCCUUUGAAGAGGUGGAGAUCAAAGCUGGGGAUCGCAAGACCUAGCACUUGAAGAGGGGCCCGCGUCUGAUUAGCUAGUGGUGAGGUAACGGCUCACCAAGGCUUCGAUCAGUAUCCGGCCUGAGAGGGCGGACGGACACACUGGGACUGAGACACGGCCCAGACUCCUACGGAGGCAGCAGUGGGGAAUUGUUCGCAAUGGGCGCAAGCCUGACGACGCAACGCCGCGUGGAGGAUGAAGAUUUUCGGAUCGUAAACUCCUGUCGAACGGGACGAAGAGAUCAC
rnacentral:rRNA from 1 species